UACGAGGGGGGCAAGCGUUGUUCGGAAUUAUUGGGCGUAAAGGGUGCGUAGGCGGUUUGGUAAGUCUUAUGUGAAAUCUAACAGGCUCAACUUGUAGUCUGCAUGAGAAACUGCCGGGCUUGAGUAUGGGAGAGGUGAGUGGAAUUCCUGGUGUAGCGGUGAAAUGCGUAGAUAUCGUAAGGAAGACCAGUGGCGAAGGCGGGUCUCUGGACAGUUCUGACGUGAGGCACGAAAGCGUGGGGAGCGAACAGG
rnacentral:rRNA from 1 species